UCCCUGGUGGUCUAGUGGACAGGAUUUGGUGCUUUCACCGCCAGGCCCCCGGGUUUUCAUUCCGGUCAGGGAA